AAACCUCGGACCAAUGGCAGCGCUGUGACGCUAACUCUAGAGAGGGCGGAGGCACGUGUCUGAGCCCUUCGAAUAGAAACCUUCCGCGCAGCGGCAGCGAUUGAGGGGUCAGACCGGCCCUGGCUUACCUCUCCAGGCUGUACUUCCGGUAGCCACAGAGAGUCGCAUCGGCCGGACCGGAACUAUAGAGAGCGGAGGGCAGAGACUCGCGGGACAGCGCGGUGGUGGGCGGGGCCUCGCCCCAGGAACAGGCUCUUGUCAUGCUGCGUGACAGGAGGGACGCAGCGCCCCAGGCCCGGACCUGCGCUUCCCCCGCUGGGGCAUAAGCCGUUUUAGGGGCGGAAACAGGUGUUCCUGCCACCCCGCGUGUUUGAGUGGCAGACAGCGACCCGCAGAUGAACCUAGAGUGAGUUGCUGAAUGUUGAAGGAAGAAAGAGAGUUCCUAGCAGUCAUUAGCCUUCCUGUAAAGGUAACUUAAAGGGAAAGAGCAAUGGGACAAGAAUCAGGAUUCAGAAACAGAAAUGGGCAAUAAACAAACCAUUUUCACUCCAGAGCAGCUGGAUGCGUAUCAGGACUGCACAUUCUUUACAAGGAAAGAAAUUCUGAGGGGAAAAGGUCUGCUCAUUUCAAAGGCAAGAUUGUUUUACAGAUACCGAGACCUGGCCCCACAGCUGGUCCCACUCAGCUACAUAGAUAAACCAGAUGUGAAGCUUCCCUAUGAACUCAUUGGCAGCAUGGCAGAGCUGAAGGACAAUCCAUUCCGUCAACGGAUAGCAGAAGUUUUCUCAGAGGAUGGAGAGGGCAACAUGACUUUAGAUGACUUUUUGGACAUGUUUUCAGUGCUGAGUGAAAUGGCUCCCAGAGACCUCAAAGCUUACUAUGCCUUUAAAAUUUAUGAUUUUAACAAUGAUGAUUACAUAUGCAAAUCAGACUUGGAGAAAACUGUUAACAAACUGACCAGAAAUGAACUUACUCCAGAGGAGGUUUGUCUUGUAUGUGAUAAGGUGAUUGAUGAAGCUGAUCAAGACAAUGAUGGCAGACUCUCUGUGGAAGAUUUUCAGCACAUGAUAGUAGGAGCUCCUGAUUUCCUCAGUACAUUUCACAUUCGAAUCUGAAUCUGGUGAAAGAGAGAGAUGAGAACUGCAUCUUGAGUCUGCACUAUGUCAUUACCUUUUGCUUGAGGUUACUGUUCAUAUGAAAGAGAUAAAUAAAGAGGACCAAAUAAGGAUUUUCAGACACUGAAGAGCAAGUCAGAAAAGUCUUGUUUUGUCUCAUUUAAAUCAAGCUAUCCACCUCCAUUAGAAACAAACCAGAAUACAAUAGGGUAAUCUCAAAGUUAGAAAGCCCAGUAGACAAAAGACAUGGUAUGUUUUAUUAUAUCAACAAAUAAAGACAUGAAAUGCAAGCUUUGGAGGGGGCAAAAGGUAGAUGGAUUCAUAGAGACCAGCACCUGAAUAAGGUACUCCAA